rnacentral:rRNA from 1 species
GAGUGAAGAAGGCCUUCGGGUUGUAAAGCUCUUUCGGCCGGAAGAAAUCGUGUUCUCUAACAUAGGACAUGGAUGACGGUACCGGACUAAGAAGCACCGGCUAACUACGUGCCAGCAGCCGCGGUAAUACGUAGGGUGCGAGCGUUAAUCGGAAUUACUGGGCGUAAAGCGUGCGCAGGCGGUUUUGUAAGACAGAUGUGAAAAUCCCCCGGGCUUAACCUGGGAACUGCGUUGUGACUGCAAGGCUAGAGUACGGCAGAGGGGGGUGGAAUUCCUGGUGUAGCAGUGAAAUGCGUAGAUAUCAGGAGGAACACCGAUGGCGAAGGCAGCCCCCUGGGCCUGUACUGACGCUCAUGCACGAAAGCGUGGGGAGCAAACAGGAUUAGAUACCCUGGUAGUCCACGCCCUAAACGAUGUCGACUAGUCGUUCGGAGCAGCAAUGCACUGAGUGACGCAGCUAACGCGUGAAGUCGACCGCCUGGGGAGUACGGCCGCAAGGUUAAAACUCAAAGGAAUUGACGGG